GGAGAAGUAGCUCAGUGGUAAAGCACUUGCCUAGUGUGCAUGAGGCCCUGAGUUCAAUCCCCAGCAUCGCAA
rnacentral:tRNA from 1 species